rnacentral:rRNA from 1 species
UACGUAGGGCGCAAGCGUUGUCCGGAAUUAUUGGGCGUAAAGAGCUCGUAAGCGGCUUGUCACGUCGGGUGUGAAAGCCCGGGGCUUAACCCCGGGUCUGCAUUCGAUACGGGCUAGCUAGAGUGUGGUAGGGGAGAUCGGAAUUCCUGGUGUAGCGGUGAAAUGCGCAGAUAUCAGGAGGAACACCGGUGGCGAAGGCGGAUCUCUGGGCCAUUACUGACGCUGAGGAGCGAAAGCGUGGGGAGCGAACAGG